rnacentral:rRNA from 1 species
GACGAACGCUGGCGGCGUGCUUAACACAUGCAAGUCGAACGGAAAGGCCCUGCUUUUGUGGGGUGCUCGAGUGGCGAACGGGUGAGUAACACGUGAGUAACCUGCCCUUGACUUUGGGAUAACUUCAGGAAACUGGGGCUAAUACCGGAUAGGAGCUCCUGCUGCAUGGAGGGGGUUGGAAAGUUUCGGCGGUUGGGGAUGGACUCGCGGGUUAUCAGCUUGUUGGUGGGGUAGUGGCUUACCAAGGCUUUGAAGGGUAGCCGGCCUGAGAGGGUGACCAGGCUCAUUGGGCCUGCGGGAGGGCCCAGUGUGCUAUGUGGGGCAAUGGGGGGAAAUAUGGCACAGCGGGGCCGAGCCUAAGGAGACAACGCCCGGUUUGUGAAGUACGUCUUCGGGGUGGAAACCGCUUUCGGCUGAGACGAAGCGUGAGUGACGGUAAUGGGUAAAGAAGCACCGGCUAACUACGUG